AACGAACGCUGGCGGCAUGCCUAACACAUGCAAGUCGAACGAGACCUUCGGGUCUAGUGGCGCACGGGUGCGUAACGCGUGGGAACCUGCCCUUAGGUUCGGAAUAACUCCCCGAAAGGGGUGCUAAUACCGGAUAAUGUCUUCGGACCAAAGAUUUAUCGCCUUUGGAUGGGCCCGCGUUGGAUUAGCUAGUUGGUAAGGUAAAAGCUUACCAAGGCGACGAUCCAUAGCUGGUCUGAGAGGAUGAUCAGCCACACUGGGACUGAGACACGGCCCAGACUCCUACGGGAGGCAGCAGUAGGGAAUCUUCCGCAAUGGGCGAAAGCCUGACGGAGCAACGCCGCGUGAGGGAUGAAGGUCUUCGGAUCGUAAAACUCUGUUAUUAGGGAAGAACAAAUGUGUAAGUAACUAUGCACGUCUGGACGGUACCUAAUCAGAAAGCCACGGCUACCUACGUG
rnacentral:rRNA from 1 species